AUGGAUGUGAUGAUUAUUUCCCCAGAUGAUCGAAUAUGAAAUAACUGAGCGCAUUAUUUAUGUUUCUCCUUUGGGAGAAACUCAAGCCAGAAAUCUGAUCCGUCGUUUUUUUUUGUUUUUUUUUUCAAAGGGAUAUUUGAUUUAAUUGUAAUUUGAUUUUUUUUAUUGGAGAUUUGAGAUGAUGAUUAUUUCCCCAGAUGAUCGAAGUUGAUUAUACUGAGCGCAUUAUUAUAGUUCCCUUUAAUAGGGAACUCCAAGCCAGAAAUCUGAUCCGAUUUUUUGUAUAAUUGUUUUAUGAUUUUUUUAUUGUUUUUCUGUGAAUGUGAAUGUCUCUGAUGAUGAUCCAAAUAAAACUUUCGUUCUUCUGAAUAUCUUUGUGGAAACGAUUAUUGGAGACCUGAACUGAAGAGGC
rnacentral:lncRNA from 1 species